GCCGGGUACGGUGGCAUGUGCCUGUAAUCCAAGUCACUGGGAGGCUGAGGUUGGUGGAUCAAGUGAGCUGAGGAGCUCUGGGCUGCAGCACACUAUGUUGAACGGGUGUCCACGCUAAGUUCGGUAUCGAUAUGGUGUUCCAGGGGGAGCCCGGGACCACCAGGUUGUCUAAGGAGGGGUGAACCGGCCCAGGUCGGAAACGAAGCAGGUCAAAUCCCCCGUGCUGUCCAGUAGUUGGAUAAUACCUGUGAGUAGAUGCUGCAGUGCAGCCUUGGCAAAACAUCGAGACCUAAUCUUUU
rnacentral:SRP_RNA from 1 species